ACAUUUGAGCUAAACUAGACCAGUUGCCUUUGACCUAAUGGGAUUGGGUCUAAUUUAAUUUGGUUCUUAUCCAACUUGAAAGUGUUUCAAGUAUGGAAGGAGUCCUAUAUACCCACUAGGUCUCACACCCAAAAAUAAAUGCCGCCCCCAUCUUAAUUGCAUUGAGAAGUGAAGAGUCCUUCUUAAAGAAGACUCUUAUCCAACUCAUUCAUUCUCAUCC
rnacentral:lncRNA from 1 species